AACGAACGCUGGCGGCAUGCCUAACACAUGCAAGUCGAACGAGACCUUCGGGUCUAGUGGCGCACGGGUGCGUAACGCGUGGUAACCUGCCCUUAGGUUCGGAAUAACUCCCCGAAAGGGGUGCUAAUACCGGAUAAUGUCUUCGGACCAAAGAUUUAUCGCCUUUGGAUGGGCCCGCGUUGGAUUAGCUAGUUGGUAGGGUAAAAGCCUACCAAGGCGACGAUCCAUAGCUGGUCUGAGAGGAUGAUCAGCCACACUGGGACUGAGACACGGCCCAGACUCCUACGGGAGGGAGCAGUGGAGAAUAUUGGACGAGGGGCGAAAGCCUGAUCAAGCCAUGCCGCGUGAGUGAUGAAGGCCUUAGGGUUGUAAAGCUCUUUUACCCGGGAUGAUAAUGACAGUACCGGGAGAAUAAGCUCCGGCUAACUCCGUG
rnacentral:rRNA from 1 species